GAUGAACGCUGGCGGCGUGCCUAAUACAUGCAAGUCGAGCGAACAGACGAGGAGCUUGCUCCUCUGACGUUAGCGGCGGACGGGUGAGUAACACGUGUAUAACCUACCUAUAAGACUGGGAUAACUUCGGGAAACCGGAGCUAAUACCGGAUAAUAUAUUGAACCGCAUGGUUCAAUAGUGAAAGACGGUUUUGCUGUCACUUAUAGAUGGAUCCGCGCCGCAUUAGCUAGUUGGUAAGGUAACGGCUUACCAAGGCAACGAUGCGUAGCCGACCUGAGAGGGUGAUCGGCCACACUGGAACUGAGACACGGUCCAGACUCCUACGGGAGGCAGCAGUAGGGAAUCUUACGCAAUGGGCGAAAGCCUGACGGAGCAACGCCGCGUGAGUGAUGAAGGUCUUCGGAUCGUAAAACUCUGUUAUUAGGGAAGAACAAAUGUGUAAGUAACUAUGCACGUCUUGACGGUACCUAAUCAGAAAGCCACGGCUAACUACGUG
rnacentral:rRNA from 1 species